GUCCUAAGGCGAGGCCGACAGGCGUAGUCGAAUGGAUGAACGGGUCGAUAUUCCCGUACCGGCAUGCAACCGACAAAACCGAAUCCGCGAGUACUAACCUCCGGGUCCGGGCUUACGUCUCCUUCGGGAGCCGGAUGCCCUGGCCUGUUGGGACCGUAACGGUAGUAGGUCAGCGCGGGAGUGACGCAGAAGGGUAGCCGGCCGCGGAGGUGGUCUUCCGUGGUCAAGCACGCAGCCCGUCCCACAGGCAAAUCCGUGGGGCGCGUGGGCGAGGUGCGAUGAUGGGCGCCGCAGGGCGCGAUAUCCGGUGAUCCCGGCUGCCGAGAAAAGCUUCGGCGUGAGGCGGCGUGCCGCCCGUACCCCAAACCGACACUGGUGGUCAGGUAGAGAAUACCAAAGCGAUCGAGCGAAUCCUGGUCAAGGAACUCGGCAAAUCACUCCCGUUCCUUCGGUUUAAGGGAGACCCCCGAUGGUGAAGCGGCUUGCCCGUGGAGCUUUUGGGGGUGGCACAGACCAGGGGGUAGCGACUGUUUACCAAAAACACAGGAGCGUGCGAAGGCGCAAGCCGCUGUAUACGCUCUGACGCCUGCCCGGUGCCGGAAGGUUAAGAGGAUCCGUCAGGCUUCGGCCGAAGCGGUGAAUUCAAGCCCCGGUAAACGGCGGUGGUAACUAUAACCAUCCUAAGGUAGCGAAAUUCCUUGUCGGGUAAGUUCCGACCUGCACGAAUGGCGUAACGACUUCCCCACUGUCUCGACCAGGAGCUCGGCGAAAUUGCAGUACGAGUAAAGAUGCUCGUUAAGCGCAGAAGGACGAAAAGACCCCGGGACCUUUACUAUACCUUGGUAUUGGCAUUCGGUGUGGAUUGUGUAGCAUAGGCGGAAGGCUUCGAAGCCACGGCGCCAGCCGCGGUGGAGCCGCAAGGUGAAAUACCGCUCUGUUCGCAUUGGAUGUCUAACCUCGACCAGUCAUCCUGGUCAGGGACAGUGCCUGGCGGGUAGUUUAACUGGGGCGGUUGCCUCCCAAAGAGUAACGGAGGCGCUCAAAGGUUCCCUCAGCCCGGUUGGCAAUCGGGUGGCGAGUGUAAGUGCACAAGGGAGCUUGACUGCGAGACUGACGGGUCGAGCAGGGACGAAAGUCGGAAC
rnacentral:rRNA from 1 species